AGUAUUGACGAGGCUAGAGUAUCUGGGCAUAGUUAGCCGCUGUGGUACAAACGGAUAGUGGGCUAUGCUUCUAGCCUCAUUGUUGCUGUGUACUCGCAGUCUAUCAUAAUAUUUAGUGCAAAUAUUAUUAAAUAAUUCAUCCACAGAUAAAACGCCCAGCUCAGAUCUGAUGCGAGCAUUUGAAAUAUAAUAUUGAGCGCCAGAUAUGGUUCUCAGUGCUCUGUUGUGUGCAACUCUGAUGCGGUCGAACUGAGUUUCGGAUAGGAGCGCACCCCAGACAGCCGUGCCCUAAUCCUCGAGACGACAGUGGUGACAUGAGUGCCGAAGUGCAGCUUUGUGUCCAUAGUGACACCCAAAUAAGGAUGUGAAGUGCCGUUUUUAAUUGCUUCAUUGCCAAUGCGGAUAUCCUGGUAUGGCGAUAUCCUUUUAGCUAAUUUGUCAAUAUAUGCUUGUUGCUGAGCUAACGCAUCUGCUUGCCGACAGUUUGCUGAGAGGACUACGACGUCAUCGGCAUAAGUGGCUAAGAGGAUUUUAUUUCCAGAGGCAUAAGUUGGGCUUGGAAUA
rnacentral:sRNA from 1 species